rnacentral:rRNA from 1 species
GGAUGAACGCUGGCGGCGUGCCUAACACAUGCAAGUCGAACGAAGCUUGACGGAUGAUUUCUUCGGAAUGAAACCUGAUAUGACUUAGUGGCGGACGGGUGAGUAACACGUGAGCAACCUGCCUUUCAGAGGGGGAUAACGGCUGGAAACGGUCGCUAAUACCGCAUGAUGUGUUCGGAUGGCAUCAUCUGAACAUCAAAGAUUUAUCGCUGAAAGAUGGGCUCGCGUCUGAAUAGAUAGUUGGGUGGGGUAACGGCCUACCAAGUCUACGAUCAGUAGCCGGACUGAGAGGUUGAACGGCCACAUUGGGGACUGAGAUACGGCCCAGACUCCUACGGGAGGCAGCAGUGGGGAAUAUUGCACAAUGGGGGGAAACCCUGAUGCAGCAACGCCGCGUGAAGGAUGACGGUUUUCGGAUUGUAAACUUCUUUUUCUUAGUGACGAAGACAGUGACGGUAGCUAAGGAAUAAGCAUCGGCUAACUACGUGCCAGCAGCCGCGGUAAUACGUAGGAUGCAAGCGUUAUCCGGAUUUACUGGGUGUAAAGGGAGCGCAGGCGGGACUGCAAGUUGGAUGUGAAAUACCGUGGCUUAACCACGGAACUGCAUCCAAAACUGUAGUUCUUGAGUGAAGUAGAGGCCAAGCGGAAUUCCGAGUUGUAGCGGUGAAAUGCGUAGAUAUUCGGAGGAACACCAGUGGCGAAGGCGGCUUGCUGGGCUUUAACUGACGCUGAGGCUCGAAAGUGUGGGGAGCAAACAGGAUUAGAUACCCUGGUAGUCCACACUGUAAACGAUGAUAGCUAGGUGUG